UGGGGUUGUUUUCUUGACCAGAAUGGGAAGUGUCAUCUCUAGGGAAGCCCUUCUGCUCCUUCAGAAUGUUCUCUCAGCUUUUACCUUAUGCCUUACAUUACAAGUGAGAAGAAGCAGGAUGUUUAAAAAUGGCCAAGUUGAAAUAUGAUGUGGACUACUCAGACCCAGGGAAAGCUCCUUGCUUAGAUUUUCCAUUUUCAAAUACCUUUACAGGGUAUGAUCAUUUUAACUGUAGCUACCAUGGAAAAUAUUUAAAUACAUGAUUUGUUAUUUCCUUGAAAAUUCAGGGAGGACCUCCUUGUUGUCAUUGUCGGACCAUCAUCCGUUUCUCCCUUUCUUUAUAAUUGCUCCAACUUGUUUAUUGCUCCUCUCUUGAUUCAUGUUUUCCUGCGAACAUUGUAACCAAUUAUACCUUAAACUGCAGUCUAGACUAUAAGUGUUAUAUAGACUUCAGAGGAAUUACGAUCUUUCUUUUUCAAGAUGCUAUUUGAAGGAAAAGAUUCUCUUUAGAUGCCAUUUUCCUGCUAGAAGUCAGCCUCUGUUACCACUUCAAAAUCUGCUGAGCUGCAAAGGAGGUGCUUCAGACAGCUCUACAGAAAUUUUUCAAGAAAACUUUCAUAAGUUUCAGUUCUACAUGAAGCUUUACCGUAGCUAAUUGGAACCAGAAUAGUACCCAUUUUAAAGGAGCGAUAUCCAGAUUUUACCAUUGAAGAGACUGAGGUGCAGAAAGAUUGCAAUUCACCCAAAGACCAGAGUUUGCCAUUGAUUGAGAAGUUGAACCCCAAUCUACCAAUGAAGCAUAUAUGGCUUCUGAUGAAAACAAAUAUCACUGUGGCUGGGAAGUUGCUGGAAAGGCCAAUUUUCUUGAUUCAAGGCCAAGCUGAUGGAAAUAAUCAUUUCAAAUGACUUUUUGUUGCCAGCCUAGAAUAUCCAACAUUCAUUUUCGAAUGCAUCUGUAUUUUCAUAUCUUGCAUCCAUAAUUGACUAUUUUCAUACAAAAUC